ensembl:snRNA U2 U2 spliceosomal RNA
AUUACUUCUCAGCCUUUUGGCUAAGAUCAAGUGUAGUAUCUGUUCUUAUCAGUAUAUGACAUAUAUGAACUUGCAUAGGAAUUUAGAAAAAAAUCACAAUUCCAU